rnacentral:rRNA from 1 species
UACGAAGGGAGCUAGCGUUGUUCGGAAUUACUGGGCGUAAAGGGCGCGUAGGCGGCGUCGCUAGUCGGGCGUGAAAUGCCUGGGCUCAACCCAGGAAUUGCGCUCGAUACUCCGAUGCUUGAGUGUGGGAGAGGAUAGUGGAAUUCCCAGUGUAGAGGUGAAAUUCGUAGAUAUUGGGAAGAACACCAGCGGCGAAGGCGGCUAUCUGGACCACAACUGACGCUGAGGCGCGAAAGCGUGGGGAGCAAACAGG